rnacentral:rRNA from 1 species
UGGGGAAUUUUGGACAAUGGGCGCAAGCCUGAUCCAGCAAUGCCGCGUGCAGGAUGAAGGCCUUCGGGUUGUAAACUGCUUUUGUACGGAGCGAAAAGGUCUGCCCUAAUACGGUGGGCUCAUGACGGUACCGUAAGAAUAAGCACCGGCUAACUACGUGCCAGCAGCCGCGGUAAUACGUAGGGUGCGAGCGUUAAUCGGAAUUACUGGGCGUAAAGCGUGCGCAGGCGGUUUUGUAAGACAGAGGUGAAAUCCCCGGGCUCAACCUGGGAAUUGCCUUUGUGACUGCAUAGCUAGAGUACGGUAGAGGGGGAUGGAAUUCCGCGUGUAGCAGUGAAAUGCGUAGAUAUGCGGAGGAACACCGAUGGCGAAGGCAAUCCCCUGGACCUGUACUGACGCUCAUGCACGAAAGCGUGGGGAGCAAACA